CGUGGCCCUCCCAUCAGGCCCCCCCACACACACAACAAAAAAAAAAGAGAAAUGAAAUAAUAUCUAGUAUAUUUCAUAAUUGUCCAAUGAUAGAAUGUAAAAAGAAAUACUAAAUUUGUAUGGUGAAAAUAUGCCAUAUGUGCAUAUCCUAUACUCGUUACAAAGUGCCUUAAAAUAGUUUUCUUUCUUUCUUUUGGUUUUCGGAUGGGGAUACAUCAUCAGCCCUCUAAGUAUGACUUUAUGUUGGUUGUAUUUGUGUUUUUUCUGCCUGUCUUGUCCACUUCAGGUCAUUGAUGAGACAUGCUACCACGCCCAUACAGAGAACAACCUUGGAUGAACCUCAAAAGAAAGACAGGAAGGAAGAAAAAACAAGGAGGAGGAAGAAAAGAUGGCAUAAAUCUCAGAAAAUUUAGACAUAUAGAGCAUGCAAUUAGGGCAUGCAAUUCAAAGAGGCAGCUCCGAAGUGCUAGACCUUGCUUUAUAAAAAGGAGUGGACACCAUGUAUUGAUUAAUGUAUAAUAAGAAGUUUCCUACUUAAAGAGAUAAUCAUGUAAAGAUGGUAGGGCACAAGUAUAAUCUUCUGAAAUGUACUUUUGCUUUUGAAAUCUUUUGAAAAGAAUUACUACCUCCGUGCUUGUCACUUUCUCAAUGUUUUGUGUGCCCACCAUUUGCUCCAUAGACAUUGAAAACUAAAUUAUACAUGCAAAAGAAACAAGCACAGCUCCAGCCACAAUAUACUGAUACAAUCAACCUGAGAGAGAUGGCUCAAUGUUUAAGAAGAUGUCCUCCCUCUUUAGCCCCACUCGAGGCCAAACCUCUAACCUGCUGUUGUGACAUGCACAUUCUUCACAAAGGGACAGGUGCAGACAUUCCAUGCUUCCAUAACUUGCAUUUUCUAAAUAAUUAUCAUGAACUUGAAAUGAUACCUUUGAACAGAUGAAAGCCAGUUCUUUAACAGAAACUGGUGAAGAUUCUGAGAUUUAUUAAGAAAAGAUUUAAUAGAGACCCCAAGUGGCCAAGCAAAAAUUCCAAGGUUCUAAUGACACAUCACCGUGAUAACUGAUCUUCCAACAGUGACUGCUAUAACCAAAA